rnacentral:rRNA from 1 species
GAUGAACUCUGGCGGCGUGCCUAAUACAUGCAAGUCGAGCGAACGGACGAGAAGCUUGCUUCUGUGAUGUUAGCGGCGGACGGGUGAGUAACACGUGGAUAACCUACCUAUAAGACUGGGGUAACUUCGGGAAACCGGAGCUACUACAGGCUAAUAUUUUGAACCGCAUGGUUCAAAAGGGAAAGACGGUCUUGCUGUCACUUAUAGAUGGAUCCGCGCUGGAUUAGCUAGUUGGUAAGGUAACGGCCUACCAAGGCAACGAUGCAUAGCCGACCUGAGAGGGUGAUCGGCCACACUGGAACUGAGACACGGUCCAGACUCCUACGGGAGGCAGCAGUAGGGAAUCUUCCGCAAUGGGCGAAAGCCUGACGCAGCAACGCCGCGUGAGUGAUGAAGGUCUUCGGAUCGUAAAGCUCUGUUAUUAGGGAAGAACAUAUGUGUAAGUAACUGUGCACAUCUUGACGGUACCUAAUCAGAAAGCCACGGCUAACUACGUG